UGUGUGUGUGUGUGUGUGUGUCAAUUUACGCAACCCCGAGUUGCCCCACGAGGACUUGGCAGCAAAUGAAGUACAAAAAUAUAGUUUAAACAGCAAAUCGAAAAAAUGCAGAGGCCCGGCAGACUGGAGGGGGUCCACCACCUGCAGCCCUCAGAGGCUGAGGAGAUGGCCCUCAGCCAACAGAGUAUGCGUCCUGUGGCUGAGGGCAUCCCUGGGGGGAGCUCCUCUGAUCCCCCCCACCCCCCAGGAUAGAAGUGCCUUUACAGUAUAAGAGUUACUGAUGGCGUCAUCGCCCUACUUGAACCAGAUGCCCUCACCAACCUCCAUGCAAUUGUAACAAUUCAAAAGAUGCAAAAGGAUGCUUUGGAGAUCCAAAUUUUGGAACAUAAGUUAUAAGUGGGUGAGGUGCAAACUGGGAUACUGUUCCCUGCUCUAAAAACAUACCCAAUAUAAAUGACUUUUUUUUUUUGUGCUUUCAGGAAAUAAAAAAAUCCUCAUAAGUAGAUUGUCUUUAUUAGAACACGGGCUGUGGUGGGACAAGUUAUUUUGUUGAACAGUUUACUCAAAGGGUUUUACUUCAGUGAACAAUGCAGACGAAAUGCUGAGCAUUUGCAUUUAGAGAAGAACAGCAUCUGGUUAAAAGCAGUACCAGGGACUUUUCUGCCUUGCAUUCUUAAAAUGAGUUUCUUGACUUGCAGCAGUUAUAGGUCCGUGCUUAGUCAGCUACUCUGAUCAUGGGAAAGCCACAACGUUGAAGUGACUGUAUAGUACAGAGCGGGUGGGAUGCACGGGGCGGAUCAUUCUGCACAUGCGUUAAUUGCGAUAAAAAAUUAAAAAAUAAACUUAAAGCAUGCCCCCGGUGCGUUUGACAGUUAACAUGGGGGCUGAGAAGGUGGUCUAAAUAAACGAUAGCGCUCGUGAAGAAAAUUAUCAGGAAAAUAAAGUAUAUCUGUCAAGUUGUACGGUUUUGUUUUGGUUUUUUGGUGAGUUUUUCAGUUUUGUUUGGUUGGUUUUAAGCACUGUGUUUUUCCCCAACUCGAAAAGGAUGUUACACUGAAGGAGUUCUGAAGGCACUGGGUUUCACUCAAGGACUGGACAGACAACAGUUGUUUCCGUUUUUGGUCUUUCCUCUUUUUUUUCUUUUUAUUUAGAAUAUAGAGCACAAGUCCAAAGGUUUGCAACGGUUAGCCCUUAGUCCUUAGCCCUUAGGUAAAAAACCUAAGAUAAACAGACAUGAAGAUACACAGAGCAGUAGUUAGUUGUCACUUGAAAAUGUGCAAAAUGCAAUAAAUGAGCAAAAUGCAAAUACAUGGAUGAAAUGUGCAAAUAUGUUAUAAUCCUGUGCAAAGUGAGUAUACAUUAGAUUGAACAUGAGCAACCCCACUAUGAAAUAUGAAGCGCCCGUGCGCAACUGGAGAUGCGUGGUUAAAAGAGUUACAGCUAUUUCACUGGGACCACAAUUAAUAGACUGCAAAGUCUCAGAUGCAAUGCGCCCAGGCCAUUAAGCUUUCGUCCCGUUUUUAACCAACAUUAAAACACUACAA